GCCUCCGCCCACGAGGCUGCUGUACGGAGAGAAGAAGGCCUCGCCGGGAAUCUUUGGGACUGGAAAACCACUGGCAGGACGCACGUGGCUCCGGCUUCCGGGAGGGCGGGACUACGCAGGAAGGCACCGCUGGCUUCUGUUCUCUGCCGGCGCAGGACUGAGAUCCGUCCCCUCCUUUGGGGCAAAAGGCGAUUUUAAAACGGAAAGUUCAGUUGUAGGCCGCAGGUUCCCAAUGUAUCGUAGGACUCACUCAGCAAUAUUUCUUUCUCGCCCAAGAAAUCAAGACUACAUCUCCCAGCAACCUUCGAGAAAGACGUUACGCAAAACCACAGUCCUUCCGUACUUGCCAUCCACAGGCAGUAACAGUUGUUCCGCCUACUGGAUUUACGGGUAGAAGGCAACCUUGCUCCGAAACCUGUCUGCAUUUAGUGUCUUCCAUAAACAGUGUUGUUCUGGAGUCCUGUCACGUCAUCAAAAAGUUUAUAACAUAGAGUUUAGUGGUUUAAGUCCAGGUGUUUGUGUAUACUCUCUUUUAUGUUUUGUGUCAAUGUGGGCUGGUCCUAAUAAAAGUUAUUACAUGGAUUGUGUUAUAUGUGGCUGUACAACUUUUAAUAUUGCCUCCUAGCCUGAUAUUAAGAGCUAGGUCAGCAGGUCAUACUAGCAUUUCUUUCCUUUGCUUGACUGUUUUGCGUGACUCUGUGUCCUGUUUGGGAAGCAGGCUGCCUCACCUAAAACAUGUGCCUAACUGACCCAGGCACAGGACAUAAAUGGUAAACAAGGACUAACAAAACAGUCCCAGCUUCUACUGCCAGUAUUCACUUUCCAGGAACUGGAACAAGAGCUUCUACUUAGAAAGUGGUAGAUAGGGCAUCUUGCUGUUGCUACACAAACCUUUGCUUUCACAAUAACAGCUACAGCGGGAAGAAACAUAGAAUUCCUACCGCAGACUUUAAGCACAAUCUCUAGCAACAACAUGCUAGUAAGCAUUUAUUGCUUUAACCAAGCUACACAAAUACUAAUAAAGUAUUUAAAAUAUUUCCGUCUUACCUUAAUUACUGAGCUUUUGUUGUUAAAUUAUGUGGAAGUGUAACAGUAGGCGAAGAAGCAACUACUUCUGGAUCAUCAAAAAAGUAGGCCUACAAGAUCGGAAAUAGUGGGGAAGAAAACAAUACAUUAUAUAACAACUACAAAUUAACUUCCUGUGCAUUCUACACAGUUUACACUGUCAUUACCUCUUGGCAACAAUCCUAAUGAUUCUUUGACUAUCAGUAAUACAGCUAAACAAUUUCUCACAAACAACACAAUGUUUGGUUGUGGUGGGUUUUCUGGGCCGUGCAUCUGUGGCCGUGA